UACGUAGGGAGCAAGCGUUGUUCGGAUUUACUGGGCGUAAAGGGCGCGUAGGCGGCCACCGCAAGUCGACUGUGAAAUCUCCGGGCUUAACCCGGAAAGGUCAGCCGAUACUGCGGGGCUAGAGUGCAGAAGGGGCAACUGGAAUUCUCGGUGUAGCGGUGAAAUGCGUAGAUAUCGAGAGGAACACCUGCGGCGAAGGCGGGUUGCUGGGCUGACACUGACGCUGAUGCGCGAAAGCUAGGGGAGCGAACGGG
rnacentral:rRNA from 1 species